rnacentral:rRNA from 1 species
GAUGAACGCUGGCGGCGUGCUUAACACAUGCAAGUCGAGCGAGUGAGUUCUUCGGAACGAUCUAGCGGCGGACGGGUGAGUAACACGUGGGCAACCUGCCUCAUAGAGGGGAAUAGCCUCCCGAAAGGGAGAUUAAUACCGCAUAAAAUUAUCGAGUGGCAUCACAUGAUAAUCAAAGGAGUAAUCCGCUAUGAGAUUGGCCCGCGGCGCAUUAGCUAGUUGGUGAGGUAACGGCUCACCAAGGCGACGAUGCGUAGCCGACCUGAGAGGGUGAUGGGCCAGUUUGGGACUGGGACACGGCGCAGACGCCUACGGGAGGCAGCAGUGGGGAAGAUUGCAGAAUGGGGGAAACCCUGAUGCAGCAACGCCGCGUGAGUGAUGAAGGUCUUCGGAUUGUAAAGCUCUGUCUUUGGGGACGAUAAUGACGGUACCCAAGGAGGAAGCCACGGCUAACUACGUGCCAGCCGCCGCAGUAA